GACGGGGGAUGCAAGUGUUCUCCGGAAUCACUGGGCGUAAAGCGUCUGCAGGUGGUUUCCUAAGUCCACUGUUAAACCUUGAGGCUCAACCUCAAAUCUGCAUUGGAAACUAGGAGACUUGAGUAUAGUAGGGGUAGAGGGAAUUUCCAGUGGAGCGGUGAAAUGCGUAGAUAUUGGAAAGAACACCGAUGGCGAAGGCACUCUACUGGGCUAUUACUGACACUCAGAGACGAAAGCUAGGGGAGCAAAUGGG
rnacentral:rRNA from 1 species